CGUCCGGAAGCUAAAAGGGGAUAGCAUUAGCCUUUUAAGCUAAAAAUUGGUGAAUCCCGACCACCCCGGACGA
rnacentral:tRNA from 1 species